AGGGCAUCACCACACCGACAAGAAUUUACCUGAAUUUCGGCGGGCUCAAACAUAACGUUAUAUUCCGGCGAGGAGACCCGCAAUGUAAAGGGAAUGGAGGUGCUAAACCUCCACAGCCCAGGGCAACACUUCGAGGACUGAGGACUCAAACCUAACGUUGAUUUUACGACGAGGAGAUCCGCAGUAUAAAGGAUGCAAGAAGCAGGGACGGAGACAUCUCUCAGCAUCUUCCAGGACCUUAUUGUUGCCUUCAACUACACCUCUCAUGGGAAAAGGCUGUAAGGGAUGAAAAAAAGGUUUAGUGAUUUGUGAUGUGCAUUAAGUAGCUUUUGGCACCAAACUUAGAAUUCCCUCUGUGUAUCUGAGACAUUUUCGACAGUGAUAAUCAAGUUUCUUGGUUGUUGGCAAGGUGCUUGAGUUUGCUUUGGUGACAUCCUGAGUGACUUUGUUGGUUGGGGUUGCGGCAUUUUGAGGGUUUUGGCUCCUUUUGCUCGCAUGGCUUUAGUCUGUUUCUGUGGGAUACAGGUCCGAUGUAUGGUUGAUUUGGUUUCUGUGACCAUGUCGGUGGCUGGGAUCGUGUUUGGAGUUGCUGCUAAGUUCAGUCCUCUAGAAAAUGGAGACUUCCCUAAGUUCUGUCAGCCCAUGAUUAUUUAGGUAUCUUGUACUGCCUGACUUUCUUUCUGCAUUAUGUGAUUGUCAGCGGGUCGGGAACCCUGACCAUUACAUGAGCUGCCUUGUGAAUGAAAUAAUGGGGUGGGGGUGAGGGGUGGAUCAUCUGGUUCUGGGGUAUCUGUUAGUCUUGAGAUCCCGAACAAAGACUACGGCACAGGGCCAGAAGGGAGGACAGGUAGAUGAAGUGCGUAAGUGAUCAUGAGCUAACAGAACUGGGGAAGUCACUGUUUUCUGGAGGACUAAACUUUGUAGUUACGUCUGAGCGCAAUUCCGGUCGUCAGCGUGGGUACAGAAGCUGAUCAGGCCAAGCAUUGGACCUGGUUGCCACAGGAACGGGUUGAAGCACUGUGUGCAGAAGUAACCAUUGCUCUCAAAGUGUCCUAAUCCCUUGCCAGUUCCAUCACAAGGGCUGUUGCCAACAUUCUCGAUGCCUUGCUGACAACCAAUUGAUUGUGAUUCUACCUGCUGGUGAUGCCUCGGGUAGACAGAGGGGAUUGUUACCUAAGCUUGGACUGAAGCUGCAUCACAGAUCAGUAACGUCCUGCCAUCGCCCCGCCAGCAGCAUUUCUCUGGAUGAAAAAAAGGUCAAGUCUGUAAAUGAAGUUCUUUUUCAAAGAAUGCAAUGUAUCAUUUUACCAUCAUUAUGUAUGAUAGACAAGUGUUGCUCAGGUUGUAUGUUCAUGCUAUAUGUUCAUGUUGCUCAGGUUGUAUGUUCAUUUUAUAUGUUCAUGUUAUUAAGUCUAUGCCAUCUUCCUGGGUGAAGCUAAAUUUGUCAUGGUGCUAGGGCCAUGUAGUUUUAUAGAAAUAUUAUAGUCGCCUGCUAUUUAGCUGCAUUCCUCGUACUUACCAGCUGUGAGAUGUCAAAGGCAUGUUUUUUUUCUAAUUCUUGCAUAAUGCAUUCACAAAUUGAAAUGUCCCUUGAAUACUAGUAGCCAAGAUUUCUUAACUUGUAAAUGUUUUUUUUAGGAUUUCCUAAUUUUUAGGAUUUCAUAACUUGUAAAUGUUCUUUUUUAGGAUUAUGUUGUAGUUGUCUUGUUUUAAGAUAAGCUAUUAAGAUAAGUGCAUUUUAUGCCAAAAAAGUUACUCAAGCAACUGGAUAUGAUUUUGGAAACAUGAUUUUGGAAACAGUCAGAUGUUUCAGGUAGCAUCCACUUACACUACUUUCGUCAAUGACACUAAAGACAGACUGUAAGAGAAAGACAGAUUUAUCAUAUCCAGUUGCUUGUGUAUAAACUGUUUUUUGGCAUAUCUUAUUACCCGAAUGUCUAACCUUCAUCAACGUAAGCGCAGUUUAGGUUAAGAAUAGUUGUAGUCUAGUUGUAGCCUAGUGUUAAGGUUAGUUGUAGCCUAGUGUUAAGGUUAGUUGUAGCCUAGUGUUAAGGUUAGUUGUAGCCUAGUGUUAAGGUCAGUUGUAGUUUAGUGUUAAGGUCAGUUGUAGUCUAAAGUGAAAGUCUUUUGUUCCCUCCCACUCGAGCCUUUAUUUUCAGUGUAUUUUGCCUCUAUUCUAGUACAAGUAGUGGCCACCUUGUCUUAGAAUGGAUCCAAAAUAUAUGAAUACAUGGGCUUUGAGAGCAAAGAUCUUUACAUAAAGUAGGCUGUAGGGUAGUUAUAAUCAGGUUAGGUUUGAUUAUAAUAAUAAGGUCUAGGGCAUUGUAGUGAGUUUUUGAAACUUAGCUUUCAAAAUGUCAGACUCAACCUGAGCAACACACUGUAUGCUUAAUAAACAGUCAUGUGGUUUUUGUUUGAGUUUUUGUUUUUGUUUCAGAAGGAUAAGCUUCAAUAACACUUCUAUUUUAUUUUAAAUCCCAUCCUUGGUCCCAUAUAGUGCUCACCAACACCCACCCCCAUACAUUUAUUUGUCAGUAUUAAGUGCUCUCCUCAUAAACCCUGUGUAGGUCUUUUCUGUCACUGGACCUCAUUAAAGCGCUACCUAAUGAAGAGUGAAGGAACUUCAACCAAGUAGGCAAAGAAAUUAUGUCUGUGCUUUGUAAUGUAAUAGUGGGGCGGUGAGUAGGCAAAAUGUAUUUAAAAGGACACGGCAUUGAAUUUUAGAUGUUGUCCCUCCCCCGCACAUGAAAUGGUACAGUCCUUCCGUGGUGACCACUUGUGGUGACCGACGCCUCUACUCGCGUCAUCCCCUACUCGUGGGGCAAGGGCUGUUCUUUACCGGACUAUAACGUUACCAAGGAAGUAAAUUAACCUGCCUGGCCUAACUUUGUCCUUGGGUCUUUGCACACAGUCCGUCAUGUUUGACGGACAAAAAUCGGCGUUUAAAGAUAUGGAAAUUGUUCUUUAAUCAUGCUGUUGCCAUACAUUGCCCUGUACGAUUGUCGAGCAAUCAUCAUGUG